CCUACGGGAGGCAGCAGUGGGGAAUAUUGCACAAUGGGGGAAACCCUGAAGCAGCGACGCCGCGUGAGGGAAGAAGGUAUUCGGUAUGUAAAGCCCUUUUAGCAGGGGAGAAAAUGACGGUACCUGAGUAAGAAGCCGCGGCUAACUACGUGCCAGCAGCCGCGGUAAUACGUAGGGGGCAAGCGUUAUCCGGAUUGACUGGGUGUAAAGGGAGCGUAGACGGCAGUGCAAGUCUGGAGUGAAAGGCGGGGGCUCAACCGCCGAACUGCUUUGGAAACUGUAAGGCGCGAGUGCGGGAGAGGUAAGUGGAAUUCGCGGUGUAGCGGUGAAAUGCGUAGAUAUCAGGAGGAACACCAAUGGCGAAGGCGGCUUGCUGGACUCUAACUGACGUUGAGGCUCGAAAGCGUGGGGAGCAAACAGGAUUAGAUACCCCAGUAGUC
rnacentral:rRNA from 1 species